rnacentral:rRNA from 1 species
GUACACUCCUACGGGAGGCAGCAGUGGGGAAUUUUGGACAAUGGGCGAAAGCCUGAUCCAGCAAUGCCGCGUGAGUGAAGAAGGCCUUCGGGUUGUAAAGCUCUUUUGUCAGGGAAGAAACGGUGAAAGCUAAUAUCUUUUGCUAAUGACGGUACCUGAAGAAUAAGCACCGGCUAACUACGUGCCAGCAGCCGCGGUAAUACGUAGGGUGCAAGCGUUAAUCGGAAUUACUGGGCGUAAAGCGUGCGCAGGCGGUUUUGUAAGUCUGAUGUGAAAUCCCCGGGCUCAACCUGGGAAUUGCAUUGGAGACUGCAAGGCUAGAAUCUGGCAGAGGGGGGUAGAAUUCCACGUGUAGCAGUGAAAUGCGUAGAUAUGUGGAGGAACACCGAUGGCGAAGGCAGCCCCCUGGGUCAAGAUUGACGCUCAUGCACGAAAGCGUGGGGAGCAAACAGGAUUAGAAACCCCGGUAGUCCCA